GCCAGCAUGGUAUAGUGGUUUAAAUGUUGGACUACAACUCUAAAGAUCGGCGUUCAAAUCACUGCUCAGCCA